AUGGAAGAGCAACAUCCAGACAGAAAAGUGCACAGAUAAUAUGUGUACUGCCUGAUGAUUUCUUACAGACUCAACACUUCCAUGUAACCAGCUCCCAGAUCAAGAAACAGAACCUUCCAGGAGCCUCCUGGUGUCCCCUUAAUCACUACCCCUCCUCCCAAGAUCUAGGCACAGAGGUCACUCUGAGCUUCCAUUUGGACAGCUGCCUGUUCGUGGGAAGAUCACCAAGCUCUUAACCCAGGAAGGGAUGCUGUGCUGCAUAUUGGCGUUGUUGUGAGGUCAAGAGAGAUUUCAUCCCUGCUGUCCUUCCUCAGAUGGGUCAUUAUGUCUGGAUUCAGGAAGAGAAUAUGCAAAUGUUGAGUCUGUGCCUCUUAACAAACUCAUCCUGCAUGAAAAAUCAUUAUUUACUUCA
rnacentral:lncRNA from 10 species